AUGUUAGAGCAAAUGCUCCCAAUGGGAAAGAGGAUAAUUUGGCUGUUCUGUUUAUUGGUUUGCAUGAUUUCUUGGUCCCACACUCCAGCACUUCUGUUUCUCUUCCUCUCACGAGGUGCCCAGCAGCCCUGGGGGUCCUGGACAAAGACAGUGGACCUGUGCCCACGGGCUAACAAAGCAACUGGGGAAGCACCCAUUUUGGUUACCACUUUCAUUCCACUUCUUCCAGGACUCACCCUCUACUUCCAUUCAGUGUACAAUCUAAAGCCUGCUGUCUAUAAAAUCCCUGUUCCAGGAGGAAGAGAAGAAAACAAGGCAUGUGACAGCCAGGAACGCUGCGGUCAUUAGCAAGGUGUACUCUGAUGUGGGACAGAGAGAAUUCAUCAGAUUUUAUCACAAUCUGUAUAAAACAUCCCUUCCAAUUAUGCAGUUCUUUUUCUUACCAUUCUUCUAAGUAAUUAUUUUAUUUUCCAGGUAGCCUGAGGCCAGCAAGGGGCUGCUGGGUGAGUCUGUUUCUCACCAGAUCCCAUUGUCUUUGAGCCUUGUGGCAAAAACAGAAACAGGCAGAAGCUAAAAGGCUGAUUUUGAAGGGCACCUGUUAACAGGGUAAUGCUGUGAGUGACAGGGGCCAGGGAACAGGAGUGGCGGUCACACUCCCCUGGUCAUGAACACUGGAGCUUCCGGGUUUGUACUCCGGUCUCCUGUGAGUUAGGCUCGUGAGAGUCUCUGAAACUCUGAUCAAUACCAAGAGCUCUGGAGUUCCCAUCGUGGCUCAGUGGUAACAAAUCCAACUAGUAUCCAUGAGGACAUGGGUUCCAUCCCUGGCCUUGAUCCAUGGGUUGAGGAUCUGGGGUUUCUGUGAGCUAUGGUGUAGGUUGCAGAUGUGGCUCGGAUCUGGCAUUGCUGUGGCUGUGGCGUAGGCUGGCAGCUAUAGCUCCGAUUUCACCCCUAUCCUGGGAACUUCCAUAUGCGGCAGGUGUAGCCCUAAAGGGGGAAAAAAAAAGAUAUUGGUAUUUACUAAGAAAUGCCAUAGUGUACAUGCCAUAGUGUGGGAGGUGGAAUAAUGGUCCACUAUGACGUCCACAUCUCAGUGACCAGAACCUGGGAAUAUAUUUUCUUAUAGUCAUUCAAAAGGAACUUUGCAGAUGUGAUUAGCUGAAGGAGUUUGAGGUGGAGAGACAACCCUGGUUAUCCGAGGGGGGUGGAUAUAAUCACAAUAUCCUCGUUAGACGGGCUCAGGAGGAGCCAGAGUGAGAGAGAAAGAGAGAGAAGGCCGUGGGAUGGUAGGAGCAGAGAUCAGAGUGGAUGUGCUUUGAAAACGGAGGAAGAAACAAGAGCCAGAAUCUAGCGGUCUCUAGAAAUUGGAAAAAGCAAGAAAACAGAAUCUUCCCUGGAGCCUCCAGGAGGAACCAGCCCUGCUGACCCCUUGCCCAGUGAAAACUGAUGGCCGAAGCCUAAAUGCCAGACCUCUGCAAGCAUAAAUGUGUGUUGUUUCAAGCCACCAAAUGUGUGAGAAUUUGUUACAGCAACAAUAGAACACUGAUACAGUUGGAAAACAUGCAAAAUGAAAACAAAAUUUGAUCCAGGACAGAGAUUAAGUAGCUGUGAAACAGAAAGAACUUUUAGAAAAUGGAGAGGGAAGUUCCCAUCGUGGUGCAGCAGAAACAAAGCAGACGAGGAACCAUGAGGUUGCGGGUUCGACCCCUGGCCUCGCUCAGUGGGUUAAGGAUCCGGCAUUGCCCUGAGCUUCAGUGUAGGUCACAGGCACAGCUCGGAUCCCGCACUGCUUGGCUGUGGUGUAGGCCAGCAGCUGUAGCGCUGAUCAGACCCCUAGCCUGGGAACCUCCCUGUUCUAUGGGUGAGACCCUAAAAAGACAAAAAAAAAAAAAGGGGAAAUAGAGAGGGCAGAGGGAACAUUAAUGGACUCUCCCCCUUUGCCUCUAAUUAACCAAGGAGUUUAUAUUAAAACAAAGAAAUGGACAAAACCUGAGGCCAGAGAUGAAAGACAUGGGAAAUGAGGGUCAGGAUAAAAACCUUAUGGUCUCUGGAGGAGACAGUUUGGGGGGUGGAGGGAUGUGCUUGGGUUGUGGGAUGGAAAUCCUGUGAAAUUGGAUUGUGAUGAUCAUUAUACAACUACAGAUGUGAUAAAUUCAUUUGAGUAAUAAAAAAAAAUUCCCUCAAAAAAAAAAAAAAGAU
ensembl:lncRNA